UACGGAGGGGCUAGCGUUGUUCGGAAUUACUGGGCGUAAAGCGCGCGUAGGCGGACCUGCAAGUCGGGGGUGAAAGCCCGAGGCUCAACCUCGGAACUGCCUUCGAUACUGCGGGUCUCGAGUCCGGGAGAGGUGAGUGGAAUCCUAGUGUAGAGGUGAAAUUCGUAGAUAUCUGGAGGAAUACCGGUGGCGAAGGCGGCAUCCUGGACCGACAUUGACGCUGAUGAGCGAAAGCUAGG
rnacentral:rRNA from 1 species